rnacentral:rRNA from 1 species
AUGGCGAUCGUCCCGCACGGCGCAGGGGGUAGCACGGUGUCGAUGCCGAUGCCGAUGCUCACAACGGACAACUACACGGUGUGGGCGAUCAAGGCCGAAGCCAUCCUCGACGCCCAGAAUCUCUGGGAAGCGGUGUCGCCGGCAGGCGACGCUGCGGUCGACGCGGGGAAAAACAAGACGGCGAGGGCGGUGCUGUUCGGUGCGCUCUCCGACGACUUGUUGAUGCAGGUAUCGAUGAAGAAGACGGCGGCUGAGGUGUGGGCCAGCUUGAAGACGAGGUUCGUCGGCGCUGAUCGGGUCUAG